rnacentral:rRNA from 1 species
AACGCUGGCGGCGUGCUUAACACAUGCAAGUCGAACGAAGUUAAGUGAAACCUAGUGAGUCUUAACUAGUGGCGGACGGGGUGAGUAACGCGUGGGGUAACCUGCCGCAUGCAGGGGGACAACAGUUGGAAACGACUGCUAAUACCGCAUAAGCGCACGGGACCGCAUGGUCCAGUGUGAAAAGAUUUAUCGGCAUGCGAUGGACCCGCGUCCGAUUAGCCAGUUGGCGGGGUAACGGCCCACCAAAGCGACGAUCGGUAGCCGGCCUGAGAGGGUGAACGGCCACAUUGGGACUGAGACACGGCCCAAACUCCUACGGGAGGCAGCAGUGGGGAAUAUUGCACAAUGGGGGAAACCCUGAUGCCAGCGACGCCGCGUGAGUGAUGAAGUAUUUCGGUACGUAAAGCUCUAUCAGCAGGAAAGAAAAUGACGGUACCUGACUAAGAAGCCCCGGCUAACUACGUGCCAGCCGCUGC